rnacentral:rRNA from 1 species
CGCGUAGGCGGACAGUUAAGUCGGGGGUGAAAGCCCGGGGCUCAACCUCGGAAUUGCCUUCGAUACUGGCUGUCUUGAGUGCGGGAGAGGUGUGUGGAACUCCGAGUGUAGAGGUGAAAUUCGUAGAUAUUCGGAAGAACACCAGUGGCGAAGGCGACACACUGGCCCGUUACUGACGCUGAUGCGCGAAAGCGUGGGGAGCAAACAGGAUUAGAUACCCUGGUAGUCCACGCCGUAAACGAUGAGUGCUAGUUGUCGGCAUGCAUGCAUGUCGGUGACGCAGCUAACGCAUUAAGCACUCCGCCUGGGGAGUACGGUCGCAAGAUUAAA